GACAAAACAUCUCACCUCAAUCAAAAAGGAGGGAGUAAAAGGGCGUUGUACCGAGUGUUGUAUAACAGGUGAGCCGUUUUCUUUUGACAUUUUUCCUCGCCGGUGCCACUUGAGCUCGUCAACUGAUCACACAAGUUUGCCAACAUGAGCAUUAAGGCAAGGUUGAUCCAAGCGAUGUGCAUUCUCCAGGAAACAUUUGUGGAGUAUGCUGAGAAAUCAGGAGACAAAACCAGUAUGACUCAAGCAGAUUUUGCUUUGAUGCUCCGUAAAGAGUGUUGCAUGCAGCUCGACAGCAAUCAGUCACUGAAGGAGUUCUUUGACAAGCUGGAUUCCAAUGGUGACGGUGUUAUCGACUUCAAUGAGUUUUGCGUUCUUAUGGCAACAUUCUUGAAAUUGUUGGAACCUAUGUGAAAAAAUUGUGCAUGUUUAUGCUUGCUUUAACAAGGACAACAUGAUUCUAAGUCCUUGAGAACCUAUACACUGUUGAAAAAGUAUGUCUUUUUUGAUUACACGUGAUUAAAAUGUGGUAAACUGA